rnacentral:rRNA from 1 species
AGCCAUGAGUUGUAUUCAUGGUGGUGCCAGCUCAGUGAAGCUUUAACAGCCGCGGUAUCUUAACCGUGCUAAGGUAGCAUAAUAAUUUGUCUCUUAAAUGGGGAAUUGUAUGAAUGGCUUAUUGGGGCUGCACUAUUAAUAUCCUAAAAGCUGAAUUUAAUUAGGAGUUGAAAAUAACUCUACUUAUAAAAUAGACGAUAAGACCCUAGGAGUUUGAUUUUCGCUGGGGCGGCACUUGCAAUAACUGCUAAGGUUUAAGUAAAGACUCCGAUUCUUAUAUUAACCAAAAAAUUACCCUAGGGAUAACAGCACAAUGUUUUUUCGAUUGUGACCUCGAUGUUGGAUUGGCUAUCUUAAGGUCCAGAAGAA